UACAGAGGGGGCAAGCGUUGUUCGGAAUUACUGGGCGUAAAGGGCGCGUAGGCGGCCCGCUAAGUCGAACGUGAAAUCCCCAGGCUCAACCUGGGAACUGCGUCUGAUACUGGAAGGCUUGAGUAUGGGAGAGGGAUGUAGAAUUCCAGGUGUAGCGGUGAAAUGCGUAGAUAUCUGGAGGAAUACCGGUGGCGAAGGCGGCAUCCUGGACCAUUACUGACGCUGAGGCGCGAAAGCUAGGGGAGCAAACGGG
rnacentral:rRNA from 1 species